UCUCACGUCCUUGUAAAUGCCCGCCUGCAUCCAUGCCCUGUGUCUGGGUGCUUCCAGACGGGCUCGCUGAGGUGCUGGGUUGUCAAAGGUCGCCACGGUGAAAGCAGCAGCCCCAGAUCGAGCCCUCGCGGGUCUCAGAGCCCGUGGAGACACGGAGAGGAACUGUCACCCAGCACGCACGCCCUCAGGACACUGACUCUCUUCUCCCUUCUCCCCUCCUCUGCUCCGGAUCUUCUCCGGUGACCGCGCCACCACCCCUCAAUGGAAGGAGAAGCGGAGUUGACCUGAGAGGCUCCCUGUUUGCACCAAACCACUGAAUGCUCACCUCAGGGCAGGUUUGAAAAUUGACUAAAAAUGAUGCCAGGAUGCUGUCGGCUCUCUCCCCCACUCCACCUUCUCCCGCGGGCCACUGGCAUCCCCAGAACUGACGGCAGAAUCAAGCACAUUCAUCCCCACGCCACGUGUGAACUGAAGAAAUUUGCCUUCCCUGAUCUGGUCUCUGUCUCGAGUCUUUAUCACAAUCCCGAGAACUCUCCCUUCGCUCUAAACCUCCCCUGAUGCUGUGUGGACAUGGAAGUUCUGCCUGGGAUGUGUCUGACACUGCCACAUGGGAAUUAC